UGGGGAAUCUUGGACAAUGGGGGCAACCCUGAUCCAGCCAUGCCGCGUGAGUGAUGAAGGCCUUAGGGUCGUAAAGCUCUUUCGCCUGUGAAGAUAAUGACGGUAGCAGGUAAAGAAACCCCGGCUAACUCCGUGCCAGCAGCCGCGGUAAUACGGAGGGGGUUAGCGUUGUUCGGAAUUACUGGGCGUAAAGCGCACGUAGGCGGACCAGAAAGUUGGGGGUGAAAUCCCGGGGGCUCAACCCCGGAACUGCCUCCAAAACUAUUGGUCUAGAGUUCGAGAGAGGUGAGUGGAAUUCCAAGUGUAGAGGUGAAAUUCGUAGAUAUUUGGAGGAACACCAGUGGCGAAGGCGGCUCACUGGCUCGAUACUGACGCUGAGGUGCGAAAGUGUGGGGAGCAAACAGGAUUAGAUACCCUGGUAGUCCACACCGUAAAACGAUGAAUGCCAGUCGUCGGGUAGCAUG
rnacentral:rRNA from 1 species